rnacentral:tRNA from 1 species
GGGCGCAUAGCUCAGCGGGAGGGCACUACGUUGACAUCGUAGGGGUCGGAAGUUCGAUCCUUCCUGCGCCCA